rnacentral:rRNA from 1 species
GACAGAGGGUGCGAACGUUGUUCGGAAUUACUGGGCGUAAAGCGCGUGUAGGCGGCAACGCAAGUCGGGCGUGAAAUCCCACGGCUCAACCGUGGAAGUGCACUCGAAACUGCGUAGCUAGAGUCCUGGAGAGGAAGGUGGAAUGCUUGGUGUAGAGGUGAAAUUCGUAGAUAUCGAGCGGAACACCGGUGGCGAAGGCGGCCUUCUGGGCCAACACUGACGCUCAUGCACGAAAGCCAGGGGAGCAAACGGG